rnacentral:rRNA from 1 species
AUUGAACGCUGGCGGCAUGCCUUACACAUGCAAGUCGAACGGCAGCACGGGGCAACCUGGUGGCGAGUGGCGAACGGGUGAGUAAUGCAUCGGAACGUACCUUUCAGUGGGGGAUAACGUAGCGAAGGUUACGCUAAUACCGCAUAUUCUGUGAGCAGGAAAGCAGGGGAUCGCAAGACCUUGCGCUGAUUGAGCGGCCGAUGUCAGAUUAGCUAGUUGGUGAGGUAAAGGCUCACCAAGGCGACGAUCUGUAGCGGGUCUGAGAGGAUGAUCCGCCACACUGGAACUGAGACACGGUCCAGACUCCUACGGGAGGCAGCAGUGGGGAAUUUUGGACAAUGGGGGCAACCCUGAUCCAGCCAUGCCGCGUGAGUGAAGAAGGCUUUCGGGUUGUAAAGCUCUUUCGGCCGGGAAGAAAUCGCACGGGCUAAUACCCUGUGUGGAUGACGGUACCGGAAUAAGAAGCACCGGCUAACUACGUGCCAGCCGCCGCAGUAAGAC